UUUUGUACCAAUUUGGAUCCUCCAAAGUUUCAUGUUAUUGAGUAAAAUGUGCCCUCAGUUUGAAGACAUUAUUGGGCAGUAUUCACUAUUUCUGAAAUGUGUUAGACUGAGAACCUUCAGCAAAUAUGGACUACAGAAAGUAAACACACGUUAUUUGCAGCUUUAUCUUUGGCCCUUUCUCAGCAAUGAAAACUAGUUUAGUGCUGUUCGUUCCGGCAAUGGUUUGCAUUCAAUUUCCAAUUGUAUACGUCGUUCAUCAUCGUGUGUUUUUCUCCUCUCCAGGAGUGCGUCUAUUACGAUCAAACGAGCAUAAGAAUUAAGCAACAAAAACGAGCA